rnacentral:rRNA from 1 species
GACGAACGCUGGCGGCGUGCUUAACACAUGCAAGUCGAACGGAAAGGCCCUGCUUUUGUGGGGUGCUCGAGUGGCGAACGGGUGAGUAACACGUGAGUAACCUGCCCUUGACUUUGGGAUAACUUCAGGAAACUGGGGCUAAUACCGGAUAGGAGCUCCUGCUGCAUGGUGGGGGGUGGAAAGUUUCGGCGGUUGGGGAUGGACUCGCGGCUUAUCAGCUUGUUGGUGGGGUAGUGGCUUACCAAGGCUUUGACGGGUAGCCGGCCUGAGAGGGUGACCGGCCACCUUGGGACUGCGAUACGGCCCAGACUCCUACGGGAGGCAGCAGUGGGGAAUAUUGCACAAUGGGCGGAAGCCUGAUGCAGCAACGCCGCGUGCGGGAUGACGGCCUUCGGGUUGUAAACCGCUUUCGCCUGUGACGAAGCGUGAGUGACGGUAAUGGGUAAAGAAGCACCGGCUAACUACGUG